CGUUUUCUUCUUCUCUCCACUCGUGCAUUACAGUGAAACCAAACAAAAUUAACGAAACCUAAACAAGUUUUUUUCUUAAAAGAAUGGAAGAAACCUAAUGAACUUUGCUCACAUCCCAUAAUCUCGUCUCUCAAAAAUUAGUUCUAACCCUAACAAAAUUUGAUUUGAUUUCGAGCCACUCUUAUCUCUAAAAUCUCAACAUCGGCACUACACAAUUCUGCAACUUUCUCUCUGGUGCGUCUUCGUUCUUCUUUUUAGAUUUUAUACUUUGUUUGCCAAUUAGGAAUGUGAAGAACGCUUGUGUUUUUCUUGUUGUUCGAUUACUUGUUUUUUUUACUGUGACAGUUUGAAUCUUUCUUGAUGUUUCUAUCAUCCUUCGUUUGAUUCAAUUGUUUGAUCAUUUGCAGAUAAUUAAAAAGUCCUAACUAAACAAGAAGUCCAACAUAUGCUAAUUACUUGAUCAUUGAAGAAAUCAAACGAGGAAGAAGUAGUAGUCUUCACUUUUUUGUGACCUUUCACUAUUUUUUGUGUGUCUCUAGAUCAAGACCAUACUAUUUUUUGUAUAACAUGUUGGAACUUUAAAUUGUAUUUUGAA
rnacentral:lncRNA from 1 species